UACGUAGGGUGCGAGCGUUAAUCGGAAUUACUGGGCGUAAAGCGCACGUAGUCGGCUUUGCAAGUCGGGUGUGAAAUCCCCCGGGCUCAACCUGGGAACUGCAUCCGAGACUGCAUUGCUAGAGUAUGGAAGAGGUGAGUGGAAUUCCGAGUGUAGAGGUGAAAUUCGUAGAUAUUCGGAGGAACACCAGUGGCGAAGGCGGCUCACUGGCCGUUAUGACGCUGAGGUGCGAAAGCGUGGGGAGCAAACAGG
rnacentral:rRNA from 1 species